CCGAAGCGCCUAAUUACUAAUACUCUGCCCGAAGCUACACAACCGCAACUGAGGUGGCGGAGUACUUCGUAGCUUCGAAUCACUACACAGCUGCUUCUUCGUACUACGUUGAACUAAAAUACUGAACUGAGACUUCAGUUUUACUACACCACAACCUACGCUUCAUCUAACUACUACACCGAAGCUCCCAAGAACUGCACCGAAAAGGUCGAAUCGAAACGUCGUACUGCAUCGAAAACUCGAUAAAAGGAAAGAGAAAGGCGAAAGGAAAUAGUCGAUAGAUCAUCUCCAACACGGCAAUAGUAAAUGCAGUGCACUAUAUGUGAUCAACUUCUUUGUCGUAUCACUAGUUCGCAACCAUGGGUAAAUAUUUUGCUUUUAAAUAGAAUUGUAAGUGAGCUCUACCUUUUUUUUUAACAUGCUAGUUGUUAUUACAUAUUUAUGUUCAAUUCAUUGUCUAUUAAACUAUGGCGUCAUGCUGCCGUUGUGUGUUGCAUCGUUGAUGGCUGGGUCGACUACGGGUGUACUGAUGUUUCCUGUGUAUGGUGGAUAUCAAGCGACAGUAGUUAAAGAAUAGUACACUUCGUCGCCGCCUUACUACACAACGUCAACAUACUCAACACCACUUACUACACCAAGAAGCUCUUAAAUACUACACUAUCAAGGUUUCAGAGUACAUUAAGAAAAUUAUGCUGCCCCGAGCUUUUACACCGAAGUCUUACUCUGCCCCGAGUCACAUCACGAAAGCGCCUGAGUACUAGACUGAGUCUUCCAAGUUCUACACCACCAAAGCUCCAAGCUACUACACCGAGGCUAUAGCUUAAUACUACACCGAAGCGGUUGAAUACUACACCGAAAUUAAGUACUGUACUACAACCUACUGCAGCCCACUAUUUGUCAUCAACUGCCUUCUUUAUCGUAUUAAUUCGCUUUCUAAUCAUUGAUAGCGCUGAUGCUGAUGUGCUGAUUUUAGGUUGGGUUCAUCACUGGUGUAGUGAUGUCUCCUGGAUGUGGUUGAUGCCAAACCACUACACCGCUGCCAUGCUACACAACAACGAGGUCUUCAAGUACUACUGAUGUACGAGGUCUUCAAUGUGUCAACGAGGUCUUUAAGUACUACUGAUGCCUCCUGGAUAUGGCUGAUGCCAAACCACUAUACCGCUGCCAUACUACACAACAACGAGGUCUUCAAGUACCACACCACUGUAGGACGGAAUACUACAAGAUUUUGUAUGCUGCUCCUGCCUACUACACCAAGGCCCCUAAUCCCUUACUAGUCGUCUACUGAAAUAUUAUGUCUGUUUUGUGUUUCAUCCGUGUAGUGUAUAAUUCAGACUAUUUGGUGGUGUUCUGUUUCCCAAUGUGGUGUGUUGCAGCUCACGUUGGUGAAAGUUCUUUGAGAUGAAGUUAAAACUGCGGUUGUCUCGAGCGAAAUUUACUGUAUACCUGAAACUUAAAUCUAAUAACAUGUUGAAUUUUGUAACUUAAUUGCUAUUUUAUCUCACAUGUAUGAAACUCGUUA